rnacentral:rRNA from 1 species
CCUACGGGUGGCUGCAGUAGGGAAUAUUGGACAAUGGGUGAGAGCCUGAUCCAGCCAUGCCGCGUGCAGGAAGAAGGCGUUAUGCGUUGUAAACUGCUUUUGCCAGGGGAUAAAACGACUCUGCGGAGUUAAUUGAAGGUACCUGGUGAAUAAGCCACGGCUAACUACGUGCCAGCAGCCGCGGUAAUACGUAGGUGGCAAGCGUUGUCCGGAUUUAUUGGGUUUAAAGGGUGCGUAGGCGGCCCUGUAAGUCAGUGCUGAAAUAUCCCGGCUUA